CUCUGCUGGUGGAACUCUUUCCUUCUGCAAGAUCCUAACUUUAACAAUGUUCGGGCUUCGACAUUGGGGGAAAUCCUCUUUAAACUGGUCUCUCGGGUGGAGUGGUUCUAAACAGUUCAACAGUUCUUUACCAAAAUUGUGAAAUGUUUAGGACCACUUGAUCAGGGUGAUUGAAACGUUUGAGUGCGAAGAGAGAAGAAAGCCAAACUUUUCCGGAACAGGCUAAAUGAUACCGGUGGGAUUUGCAUACUGGACUAAGGAGUCGGAUACAGCAGAGCCGAAUCGGCCAUUAAGGCCGACCCUCAGCAUUUCGGUAAAAUGUGGACGAUUUCAUUUGUUUUUUUUCCCUCGUUUUUUAACUCAAAAAACUUCUGUAGAUUUCAGUAGAAUUCCAUUGUGUAAAAAUGUUACAAUGCGUAGUAAACCUGUUUUUAAUUGUGUUUCUUUCUUUAAAAUGAUACAUUGUACUAUCGAUAUAGUAUAUUACUGUUUUUCGUACUAUUGUUCGACUGCCAGCUGUGGAAGGUUAGACUAUAGACUAGAGCGCCCUCUUCGGUUCGAUCAUGUUUUCGCCACGUAAGCCUAUUAACUAUUUCUAGUUAACAAUUAAAUUACUCGAUUUUUAAUUUUUUCUGAGUAACGCCUAAACACCAAUAAAGAUGUAAUAUGAUAUAAUUAGUCAAUGGGAUUAUUGCCAAUCACGAACAGCCAAAAAUUAGCUUCAGCGGUAGUUAUCGAGAAUAUCAUACACUAAAUAUGUAAAUGUAUGUAAAUUAUACGAUGUUGCAGCAGGAAUCAUCAGUUAUAUAAAUAUUACCUGUUUUUUAAUCCUGAUAUAUUUUUCAAGAGGCAAUAAAAGGAGUCUUGGGUCGCUAAUAAAGUCUGAAAACAA